UCGAGGGAAUCCAGCAAUGGGUGACCGGCAAACGGNNNNNGAACACGUACAGAAUCUACCUUUGUCUGGGGGAUAGCCCGGUGAAAACCGGAUUAAUACCCCAUAAUAUAUUUAUGUGGCAUCACAUUGAACAUUAAAGAUCCGUCGGAUGAAGAUGACUGUGCGUACUAUUAGGUAGUUGGUAAGGUAAUGGCUUACCAAGCCUACGAUAGUUAGCUGAUGUGAGAGCAUGAUCAGCCACACGGGCACUGAGACACGGGCCCGACUCCUACGGGAGGCAGCAGUGAGGAAUAUUGGUCAAUGGGCGCAAGCCUGAACCAGCCAUGCCGCGUGAAGGAUGAAGGCGUUCUGCGUCGUAAACUUCUUUUAUCUGGGAAGAAACCUACGAUUUCUAUUGUAGCCGACGGUACCAGAGGAAUAAGCACCGGCUAACUCCGUGCCAGCAGCCGCG
rnacentral:rRNA from 1 species